UCGAGGAUCUUCGGCAAUGGGGGCAACCCUGACCGAGCGACGCCGCGUGUGCGACGAAGGCCUUCGGGUUGUAAAGCACUGUCGAGGGUGAGAAACGCCCGCAAGGGCUUGAUCUACCCCUGGAGGAAGCACGGGCUAAGUUCGUGCCAGCAGCCGCGGUAAGACGAACCGUGCGAACGUUGUUCGGAAUCACUGGGCUUAAAGGGCGCGUAGGCGGGCCGCCGCGUCCGGGGUGAAAUCCUCCCGCUCAACGGGAGAACGGCCUCGGAUACGGGCGGUCUGGAGGCGGGUAGGGGCACGCGGAACUGUGGGUGGAGCGGUGAAAUGUGUUGAGAUCCACAGGAACUCCGGUGGCGAAGGCGGCGUGCUGGACCCGUCCUGACGCUGAGGCGCGAAAGCCAGGGGAGCGAACGG
rnacentral:rRNA from 1 species